GACGAACGCUGGCGGCGUGCUUAACACAUGCAAGUCGAGCGGUAAGGCCCUUUUGGGGGUACACGAGCGGCGAACGGGUGAGUAACACGUGGGUGACCUGCCUUCAGCUCUGGGAUAAGCUUGGGAAACUGGGUCUAAUACCGGAUGUGACUGUCUGCCGCAUGGUGGGUGGUGGAAAGUUCUCGGGCUUUGGUCUGGGUUCGGCUGGGGAUGGGCCUGCGGCCUAUCAGCUUGUUGGUGGGGUGAUGGCCUACCAAGGCGACGACGGGUAGCCGGCCUGAGAGGGCGACCGGCCACACUGGGACUGAGACACGGCCCAGACUCCUACGGGAGGCAGCAGUGGGGAAUAUUGCGCAAUGGGCGGAGGCCUGACGCAGCGACGCCGCGUGGGGGAUGACGGCCUUCGGGUUGUAAACCUCUUUCGCCAUCGACGAAGGUUCUGUGGUUGUGAGGCUGCAGGGUUGACGGUAGGUGGAGAAGAAGCACCGGCCAACUACGUGCCAGCAGCCGCGGUAAUACGUAGGGUGCGAGCGUUGUCCGGAAUUAUUGGGCGUAAAGAGCUCGUAGGCGGUGUGUCGCGUCGGCCGUGAAAAUCUGCAGCUUAACUGUGGGCGUGCGGUCGAUACGGGCAUCACUGGAGUUCGGCAGGGGAGACUGGAAUUCCUGGUGUAGCGGUGAAAUGCGCAGAUAUCAGGAGGAACACCGGUGGCGAAGGCGGGUCUCUGGGCCGAUACUGACGCUGAGGAGCGAAAGCGUGGGGAGCGAACAGGAUUAGAUACCCUGGUAGUCCACGCCGUAAACGGUGGGCGCUAGGUGUGGGGGCCAUUCCACGGUCUCUGUGCCGCAGCUAACGCAUUUAAGCGCCCCCCCCUGGGGAAUACGGCCCCCAAGGCUAAAACUCAAAAGAAAUUGAC
rnacentral:rRNA from 1 species